CACGUAGGGCGCGAGCGUUGUCCGGAAUUAUUGGGCGUAAAGAGCUUGUAGGCGGUUUGUCGCGUCUGCUGUGAAAUUUCGGGGCUCAACCCCGAACUUGCAGUGGGUACGGGCAGACUAGAGUGUGGUAGGGGAGACUGGAAUUCCUGGUGUAGCGGUGAAAUGCGCAGAUAUCAGGAGGAACACCGAUGGCGAAGGCAGGUCUCUGGGCCAUAACUGACGCUGAGAAGCGAAAGCAUGGGGAGCGAACAGG
rnacentral:rRNA from 1 species